rnacentral:rRNA from 1 species
GGAUUAGGCAUGCAAGUCGAGGGAGAACCCGCAAGGGGGACACCGGCGAACGGGGUAGGAUCACCUCGGUGACGUACCCUCCGGACGGGGAUAGCGACGGGAAACUGUCGGUAAUACCCGAUGACCUGGCGAGCUUUUAAGGCUUGUCAGCAAAGGUGAGAUUCCACCGGAGGAGCGGCUGAGGCGCUAUUAGCUAGUUGGGGAGGUAACGGCUCACCAAGGCGACGAUGGCUAGGGGGUGUGAGAGCAUGGCCCCCACCACUGGCACUGAGACACUGGCCAGACACCUACGGGUGGCUGCAGUCGAGAAUCUUCGGCAAUGGGCGCAAGCCUGACCGAGCGACGCCGCGUGCGGGAUGAAGGCCCUUGGGUUGUAAACCGCUGUCAGGGGGGAUGAAACCGUAAGGUUGACAGAGCCCCAGAGGAAGCACGGGCUAAGUUCGUGCCAGCAGCCGCGGUAAUA